UUUGCCUUUUAGGUCAUAUUUUUAAAACCUGUUACUACAGGUUUUCUUUUUUAUGUUCUCUUAAGAACUCUGUGAUUGCUUUUGUCUGCUUUAAGCAGACUGGCCAAGCUGCAGUCAGUGUUCUGGCUGAGCUCUCACCGGGAACACACAAAGCAAACCAAUUUGCUUCAUUUCAGAUUCACAAUAUUCCUGCUAGUACAGUCCUUAAUAAUUUUCCUGCAUUGUUGGCUCUUACUUAGGUUUAGUCUUGACAGCCAGAUUCUGUCCUGACGUAUACUGAUUGAUUGUUUCCCUUUGAAUUAUGCUCUUUAUUUCCCCUCCUUAUGGACACAUUUAUAAGGCAUAAAUGUCUUAGGGACAUUUCUCCUCCUUAUGCCUGGUCUUCAGUGCAUGCAUCUUCAAAUUAGUUCCUCUCGUCCAAAAUGCAUAAUAAAUCUCUCAAUAUGAUGCUUUGAUUGCAUUAUUUAUUUCAUUAGUCAAAUAAUUUACAGAGAUUAUGAUUAAAACAGUUAAAAAAAAAAGAAAAAGGAAAUAAAGAACAAUUUCAGGUCAGACCUCUGGAAGACAUCACUUAAAGUCUCUUAGUCUGAUAACAAGAAAUAGUUAACUUAGGAAAUUUUGAUUGCAAUUCUGCAAGUCCUUUCAGUUCACUGUACUUUUACAGUACCAAAUGCCUCACAAAGGCCAAAGUUCGUCAUGUCUGUUGCUUAAACCAGUUAAGUCAGCUAGAAGGGUUGCUGUAGUCAGGUAUUUUUGAUAAAACCAGGCAUCGUGAAGAGUAUGAUGUUACUAUAGCUAUUUUAAGAAUACUUAGCAACCCAUCAGGUUUUGAAUAAGACUAAGUGGCCUGUGAUUCUCAGGUAUUCCUUUUACUGCUUAAAGUUGGUACUGUUUUCUCCUUCUUCAUUUGCAAACCAAGUGAAAGUCUUCCCUAAAGAUCACUAUAACUAAAGAUAAAGUUUUCAACUUCAGCUAUAAGUGCAUACACCUGUGUUUCUGGGGGAGUUCCUUCCAGCUGUAGUUUUAUUCACCAUGCAGGCCCACUGAAUUUCUCAUCUAGCUGUGACUAGUUAGGUAUGCAUGCAUUCAGUCUCUUGCAGAAGCAUUUGUAUGAAAGAACUGAUUUCAGGAAAAAAUCAGGAGAGGGUCCAAAAAGUGAUAUAAAUUUAUCAAAAAAUCUGCCAUGGUUCCAAAAUCUCUUUUUGAAACAUAUUUCUAAAGAACUCUUACUGGAGAUGGAAAUUUAGUUAUACCCUGACAAAUGGGUAGUUUACUUGCUAAGGUUCCAUAAAUAAGGUUUCUGUACAUAGAUCUAAGUGAAUAUGCAAGGUAUGGAAUGUAGAAUAUUUCCUUACCUGCUACAACCUAAAAUUACUCAGGAAAUGAACAAAAGCUUCCUCAAAACAAACAAACAAAGAAACCAAACAAAACCCAUGAGCUAUGACUACCAGCUACCAAGUGAUCCUUUCCAAGAUGAGAGAGUACAGAAUAUUUUGGAAGCCCUUACUGCAUGAAAGCCACAGUAGCAGCCUGGAUUAGAUAAUUUGGACAUUGUCACAUUGUGCAAGCACGUAAAGUGGCAGCAAAGUCAGAAUCACAGAAGAAAAUGCUUAGGUCAACUCAAAGACCAAUUGAAAACGGGAUAUCUAAUGCAUGCUAAAAUUAUGGGUAAUGCCAGGUCAUAUUAUUACUUUAGAAUAGUGGGAAAGUAUGCACUUAAUGAGCUCUACUAAGAGCUGUGUGGCUUGAUUAUUGCAGGUGAAAUAGUUCAGCUGCUAACAAAUGGUGCAGACCUUUUUCAAAGGUCUUUUCCCUGGCCUUCCCCCCGCUCCUGCCUUCCCCAAGGUGUUUCUGAGCACUGCCUUACUUCUAGUGAGAAUCCUCAUGGCAGGCUGAUGCUGGUACAAGGUUAGACAGAAGACUCUAAGGUCAGGAUUGAUUUUGAAAUAAGUAAUUUCAAUGACUAUUAAGGUAAUCAAUACACAGCUUGGAGCAAGACAUCUAAAAGUAGCCAAUACUCUCUUCCACGUCAAGAAUUCAUCUGGAAUCUUACAAGACUGUUUUGCACAUUCUCAUAAUGAGAAGUCAGACCUUCAGUGCAAGUUGCCUCAUUCCUUUAGAGUAAGUUGAUUUGUAUCAGUGUACACCAGCAGAAGAUUUAUACCAUGGUGCCAUGGAAAUGCUAAGUCGUGGCCUGAAGCAGUGAUUGCACACCUGGUGGGAAGGCAGGGCCAACCCAGGGGAGCUCAGGUGAACACAAUGCAGCUGAUUAGAAGGGCUGGAGCCGGGAUCCACCCUUUCCCAGACCUCAUGUAAGGGUUGGCAGUGGAGGGGGAGACUCUCUUGUUGGAGAUUCCUGCCUAUCUGAAGAUGUUACAGGCCUUCCAAAGAUGGCAGAGCUGAUGCACAAAGAAACUAUAACGUGCUCAAGGUUGGACAGAAACCUGUGGCAGAAGAAUCAAUAUCAGAUGCAGAAAGGACAAGACAAUGGAAUUAAAACAUUCAAAAUUCUUUUCAGUACUUCCAGAUGCCAAUAGCAGAGACGUACUGACAUGAAAACCUCAACAAAAAAGUUGUAUCUACCCCAUCUACCUCUGUGAUGACAGAAUCACAGAAUGGCUUGUGUUGGAAGGAACCUCAAGGAUCAUGAAGCUCCAACCCCCUCGCCACAAGCAGGGCCACCAACCUCUGCAUUUAAUCCCAGACCAGACCACAUUUAAUGCCCAGGGCCCCAUCCAACCUGACGUUGAACAUCUCCAGGGAUGAGGCAUCCACAACCUCUUUGUGCAGCUGUUCCAGCACCUCACCACUCUCAUAGUAAAGAAAUUACAGAUUAUGAAGUAGUGGUUCCUGUGUGUAUCUGCUGUGCUGACCUCACCUAUAAAUGACUCUGCAGUGGAAAAGAUUCUUCUGUUCCCAAAAAUAUAAAUUACUCUUUAGACUAGGUUUUGCAUUCAAGCUAAUACAAUGGUGUUACUCAUAAGAGUGAAAUUAUUUGUGUUCAGACACGUUCCUAGAAUUAAUAUGUAACAUCUCAAAUCAGAUCUAACAGGAUGAAAAUGCGGAAUUUUGGGGGUCCAAUUUUGAGUAUGUAUCAAUCACAAAUUAUGAUUCUGGAAAAAAAAGUAGUUGUAACUAUGAGGUUAAUUAUAGUAACUAUGAGGUAGAUUAUAUGUAGUCAUCAAAUAACAGUUUUGUUACGCAAUGAGUAUCUGUCUUUGCAGUUAUAACACUGCAUCAUUUCUUAAAGUUAGUAUUAUCUUGUAACUUCACAUUGUGUUUUAAUUGCCUACUUGAAUUUGCUGUGCUUUAGUAGUGAAGACUUGCUGAUUAGUAUAUUAAUUGUUUUUAAGUGUUAAUGUAAUGCUUGGGACUUAUUUAACUUGGAUAAAUUGUGGGAUCUUUUUUUCUCUUUUCCUUCUUUAAGAGCUCAGCACAUAUAUCGGUCGAAUCUCCCUAUGAACUCAAAUCCCUGCUCUUACAUAAUGGCUAUUAGACUUAUGCUGUAAAGCUAAUCGCAGCAGGUGCCAUCACAGGACAGUGGGACAGUAGUGAACAUCCUUCCUGGUCAGUGGUCUCUGAUGUCAGACCCAGACUUUAUCCUUCUUCUACUGUGCUUUUUCAGGUGAUGUUUAAAGCCUGAUUUGACUGAUUAGUGCCAAUAUAGUUGAUUAAAGUUGCUUAUUGUUUUAAUCUGUCAGCAGUGUGAAUGUCAUGCAUCUGCUUAGGUAGGAGUAGUGGUGAAUUGAAAGGUAAGAGCUAUGUCUGAUUUCCAAUAUGAGCUGUUUUAGCCAACCCCCAUCUGAUGGGAAGCCUGUACCACUACAGGACUCAAGCUGUGCCUUUGUACUGAUCUGCUGCUCCUCAAUUCAAGAAAUACUGCCUCAAAAUAAAGCUGUUUGUCUUAUGUCAAGAGAUGAUUUCAUAUGCUCUCAGCGGUAGCUUAAGGAGAACUUUAAUCACUGCUCUAUACUACGUUUUCAUGUGUUUUGCUUUGAUUGCUUUUAUAUACAUACAUUAGUGAAAUGGGGCAGGAACAGAGGAAGUUUUUGUUACAUUCUGAUGGUCUUUGACAGGUCCUGGAUGUAUUGGGACUGUCUCCUCAACCAAGGCAGAACCCGAGUUACACAAAGGAAAGCUGUAUUGGAGAAUUGGUCUUCCAGCUGGAGAAGCCAUGCAGAAGCACAUGAUAUCAUGAACAUUAUUAUUAUUUCCCAGAAACUACUGAAAAAAGCAGUUAGUUUUGUCAUAGACAUAAAUGUUCUGCUUGGUGUCAGUGUAACCUCCAUUGUUUGCAAAGGUGGUUACCUUGUGUGUGCAGAAGUCCUGCCCGCUACCAUUAGCCAUACCGUUAGCUGUUACAGGAGGCUCUGCUGGUCAGUCAUGGUGACCCAGUCUGGCCAUUUCUGAUAUUUAAUGCAAUUCUCAAGUUGUUGUAAAACUCCAUAAGAAAAAGCCAUGCUAUAAUGAACAGACGGAAAUAAAGCUUCCCUUGUCUAAUAGUGUUAAAAUAUAUAUAUGUAUCUGAAGAAGUAAGGAAAGUGUUUGUCAUCAGAAGUUUUUCAUAAGACUUUUCAUGAUCAUUGCAUUCAGUGUUCAUUUAUCAUUUAGAGAAAAAAAAAUUCAGUAAUUAUUUUCAACCAAUAUAGGAAGAGAUUGAGAGCAAAUAUUAAGAUCAUUUGAGAGGACAAUUGAGGAUUUUAUUAUUAUUAUUUAGUAUUUCUCACAGUGCCUCUUAUUGCUAUCAUGUCUGGUUCUUCUUUUUCUACGCUUAAAUAUUCAACACCUCUGUUGUUUUGGCAUCAACAACUGACUCUGUCAGUGUACAUAAGAAGCCUCUGAUCUCUUAUGCUACCUAUGCAGAUUCUGAAUCCUGAGCCAAAACUUGGUCAAGUCAGAGGGGGGUGUUCAUACAGAGUCCUAGAAAAAUCGUUAUGGGGAACAUCUAGUAUAUCUCAAAUUGUGUAGAGGAAUCUGCUGAAACAAAGCAUGCUGGUACCUAGCUUAACUUGUACUUGUUAAUUAUUAGUGAUUAAUUUUUAAUAGCUGUAUUUUAUAGCUUGUGGUUGGUUAUGCCCCAAGGUAAUGACUUCUUGUGUCUCAUAUUCUGUUAUUUGAAGGACAUCAUUCAAUAUAGCAUCUAUACAGCUUUGUUAAAGCAUUUAGAUCUAAAUUUUCUGCAGCAAAGACACAUUUAUUAAAUAGUCCAUAUGUUUAUUACUGUUCACAAUGAUCAAAUCCUGGGAAAACAUUGCAGAAAGAAAAUAUCUAGCUUCCUACCUUAAUUCCCAUUAUUCUAUUGAUUAGAAAAGUGAAGAUUACAUGUAUUAUCAACUGUAUUAUCAGAUAAUCCAUAAUCAGAUGCCAUUUUAAUGACAGGCAUGUGCUUUUUGUGGUGUUCCCUGGUAAAGCAGUAUGAAGAAUUUAAUGACUUCAUUAAAAGAUACUGCAUAACAAAGAAAGGAAAGCCCAAUGCCAUUUAAUAUUAUCUUUACAAUGUAUUACAUUGUUGAAUUGGAUUUUUUGUUUUGCUUAUUUGGUUUUGUUGUUGUUUUGCAAUUUUAUGUUCUGUAAGUUGAACAAUAAAUGUGUGAUAAGCAAAGGAAAUGUUGAGAUUUUUGCAGAUAUGGGCAAGCAGUGUUAUGACAGGUAUGUUCUGUGUCCUUAAAGAAACAGCAAGAAUGGUUUGUACCUUAAGAUGAUGAAUCUAUAGCGGACUUUCAAAUUCUUUUAAAAAGCAAAAUAAUAAGGAAGGUUUCACUGUUGCAGAUUGUGCCUGGAAUGUUGGGGCUGGGAGAUGCCACAAAGGAUAUUUUCCUUUUUUUUUUUUUUCCAUUAUUUUAUUUGUUUGUGUGGUAUUUCGGUAUUUUUUUAUUGCCUGUCCAAGCUGACUGUACUAGUACCAUUGUGUUCUCAGAAGUGGAUCUGGAUGAUUCUUUACUUUUUUACUGGAGGUCGGAUUUACUUUUUUUUAGGAAGUCAGAUCCUGUCAUGAAGAUACUAGACUGGAAGUCAGGACUUUCCUUCUUGUGUCACAGACCUUGUGUGGGCCUAGCCUGGACAGGGUGUUUGAUUCUCACUGCUGCAGUAUUCCGUGUGAAAUUUGAAGUUUUGAUUUAUUCUUUCAAUUUGUUUAAGAAUACAUGUAUUCAUCAUGUAUGAGAUACAGAGAUGUAAUACUAAUGGAUACCUGGAUACAGUCCAUUGGAACGUUGAGUUUUGUAUCUCAAUUAUUGCAAAGCCUAAAAAUAGUUAAUAUUUGAGAGCAAAAAACAAAAUCGAGAAAACUCUUUGUCUUAAAUCUGCCUAUUCAUGAUUUGUCUAAAAGCACAUUAGUUUUGGGAAACAAAACUGAGAUUGUCUGCUGUUUUAGAACUUAAAAAUCAGUGAAAAUCAGCUGUUAUCAUCUUGACUUGGAACUGAAUUUGCUUUGUAACCUAAAAAGGCUGUAAUUUUGUAAAUAGGUAAUAGUUGUGGUAUUGUUUGUAUCAUUAAUACUGUAUUGCAUAUGUUACGAGUGUUGAUGCUGCUAGAUCUCUCAGUGGCUCAGGUUACUGAAAGCUAUUUAAAGAAGUCUCUGAUGCAGAGAUGCCAUUACAUUUGAUAUCUUACAUUGUGAUUUACAGGUUUUUAAGGCUUUGUUUGAUGUUGAUUUUGUUUUUUUUUUCAGAGCUCCUCUCCAGUGGUUCUCUGUUUGUUGGUCUGGCAAAGUCAUUUAAAUGAAAGUUCACAGUGCCAGAAUAUGGUUUAGCAAUUCACUGAAGCCACUAGAAUUGGGUUUUAUUUAUUUUAUUGUUUUAUUGCUGUCCUGCUCUGCUUGAAAUUCACCCAUUUAUGUUUAAGUAUGACAACAUAAAGCAAGUAGUAACAACUGUUUCUUUUUUUUUCAUUGAUCUGCGACAAAUUCUUCAGCUUA
ensembl:lncRNA